GUGAGUGUAGCUCAGUUGGUUAGAGCGUCCGGUUGUGGUCCGGAAGGCCGUGGGUUCGAGCCCCAUCACUCACCCCA
rnacentral:tRNA from 1 species